rnacentral:rRNA from 1 species
UCAAGCUACAAAGAGCACAAGGGGAAUGCCUUGGCACCGAGAGCCGAAGAAGGACGUGACUAACUGCGAUAAGCUGCGGGGAGCCGUAAGUAGGCUUUGAUCCGCAGAUUUCCGAAUGGAGCAAUCCGGCAAGAGGAAAGUCUUGUCAUCAUAUACUGAAUACAUAGGUAUAUGAGGGGAACCGCCUGAACUGAAACAUCUAAGUAGGGCGAGGAAGAGAAAUCAACCGAGAUUCUGUGAGUAGUGGCGAGCGAAAGCGGAAGAGGCUAAACCAUAGGUAGCAAUACUUAUGGGGUUUCGGACAGCAUUUAGCAUUGAUAAUUUCUAGUUGAAACGUGUGGGAAAACGUACCGAGGAGUGUGAGAGUCACGUAAGCGAAAGAGAAAGUCAGCGAGCUGUAUCCAAAGUACCGCGGGACACGUGAAACCCCGUGGGAAGAUGGGGGGACCAUCCUCCAAGCCUAAAUACUACCUAAUGACCGAUAGCGAAUAGUACUGUGAAGGAACGGUGAAAAGAACCCCGGGAGGGGAGUGAAAAAGAACCUGAAACCCUAUGCUUACAAGCACCGAGAGCACGUCAAAGUGUGAUCGGGUACCUUUUGUAGAAUGGUCCGGCGAGUUAUUGUAUGCGGCAAGGUUAAGUGCUUAAGGCACGGAGCCGAAGCGAGAGCAAGUCUGAAUAGGGCGAAAGAGUCGUAUGCAAUAGACCCGAAACCGAGUGACCUAUCCAUGUCCAGGCUGAAGUGGAGGUAAAACUCCAUGGAGGGCCGAACACACGUCCGUUGAAAAGGCCGGUGAUGAGGUGUGGAUAGCGGAGAAAUUCCAAUCGAACUCGGAUAUAGCUGGUUCUCUCCGAAAUAGCUUUAGGGCUAGCCUCGUGAAAGAUUACUGGAGGUAAAGCACUGAAUGGGCUAGGGGUCGAAAGAUUACUGAACCCUAUCAAACUAAGAAUGCCAGAUAAUUGAUUCACGGGAGUCAGACAAUGUGAGAUAAGUCUCAUUGUCAAAAGGGAAACAGCCCAGACCCACAGCUAAGGUCCCUAAACAUUGUUAAGUGGAAAAGGAUGUGGGGUUGCAUAAACAACCAGGAUGUUGGCUUAGAAGCAGCCACUCAUUAAAAGAGUGCGUAAUAGCUCACUGGUCGAGUGACUCUGCGCGGAAAAUAUAACGGGGCUAAGCAUGAAACCGAAGCUUGGGCUUGUCGUAAGACAGGGGUAGGGGAGCGUCGAGUAUGGGGUGAAGUCAGAGCGGAAGCACUGGUGGACUGUACUCGAGUGAGAAUGCCGGAAUGAGUAGCGAGAAUUAUGUGGGAAUCAUAAUGGCCGAAAAUCUAAGGUUUCUUGGGGAAGGUUCGUCCGCCCAAGGUAAGUCGGGAGCUAAGCUCAGGCCGCGAGGCGUAGGCGAUGCACAUACGGUAGAAAUUCCGUAACCACCGAACUUUAAGCAUGAGGGACACUUUGAGAUAGCGGAACCCGGGCGUUGGUUGACCCGGGCGAAAGGGACCGAAAUAUAGUAGGGAAGUCCGCGAUGCUCGGAGGCGAGAAAAGCUCAUGUGUAUACUAAGGUGCCCGUACCGCAAACCGACACAGGUAGAUGAGGAGAGAAUCCUAAGGCCAACGGGAGAAGGGUUGUUAAGGAACUCGGCAAAUUGACCCCGUAACUUCGGGAGAAGGGGUGCUCCAGAGAUGGAGCCGCAGAGAAUCGGCCCAAGCAACUGUUUACCAAAAACACAGGUUUGUGCUAAAUCGAAAGAUGACGUAUACGAGCUGACGCCUGCCCGGUGCUGGAAGGUUAAGAGGAGAUGUGCAAGCAUUGAAUCGAAGCCCCAGUGAACGGCGGCCGUAACUAUAACGGUCCUAAGGUAGCGAAAUUCCUUGUCAGGUAAG